rnacentral:rRNA from 1 species
AUUGAACGCUGGCGGCAGGCCUAACACAUGCAAGUCGAACGCGUGGCGGACGGGUGAGUAAUGUCUGGGAAACUGCCUGAUGGAGGGGGAUAACUACUGGAAACGGUAGCUAAUACCGCAUACCAUCGGAUGUGCCCAGAUGGGAUUAGCUAGUAGGUGGGGUAAAGGGUCACCUAGGCGACGAUCCCUAGCUGGUCUGAGAGGAUGACCAGCCACACUGGAACGGAGACACGGUCCAGACUAAGACGGGAGGCAGCAGGGGGGAAUAGUGCACAAUGGGCGGAAGGCUGAUGCAGACAUGCCGCGUGGAUGAAGAAGGCCUUCGGGUUGUAAAGUAAUUUCAGCGGGGAGGCGUUACCCGCAGAAGAAGCACCGGCUAACUCCGUGCCAGCAGCCGCGGUAAUUC